rfam:Hordeum vulgare subsp. vulgare, WGS project CAJW01000000 data, contig: morex_contig_135946
GAGGUACUCUCUCCUAUCCAUAUUACUUGUUUUAAAUUUUGUCUAGAUACGAAUAUAUCUAGACAUGUUUUAGUAUUAAAUACAUCCGUAUCUAAAUAAAUUUAAGGCAAGUAGUAUGGAUAGAAGGGAGUAGUAU